UUGACGGGACCGCACAAGCGGUGGAUGAUGUGGUUUAAUUCGAUGCAACGCGAAAACCUUACCCACCUUUGACAUGUACGGAACCCUUUAGAGAUAGAGGGUGCUCGAAAGAGAGCCGUAACACAGGGUGCUGCAUGGCUGUCGUCAGCUCGUGUCGUGAGAUGUUGGGUUAGGUCCCGCAACGAGCGCAACCCUUGUCAUUAGUUGCUACAUUCAGUUGGGCACUCUAAUGAGACUGCCGGUGACAAGCCGGAGGAAGGUGGGGAUGACGUCAAGUCCUCGUGGCCCUUAUAGGUGGGGCUACACACGUCAUACAAUGGCUGGUACAAAGGGUUGCCAACCCGCGAGGGGGAGCCAAUCCCAUAAAGCCAGUCGUAGUCCGGAUCGUAGUCUGCAACUCGACUACGUGAAGUCGGAAUCGCUAGUAAUCGUGGAUCAGAAUGUCACGGUGAAUACGUUCCCGGGUCUU
rnacentral:rRNA from 1 species